AGGGUUUGAUCAUGGCUCAGAUUGAACGCUGGCGGCAUGCUUUACACAUGCAAGUCGAGCGGCAGCGCGGGGGCAACCCUGGCGGCGAGCGGCGAACGGGUGAGUAAUACAUCGGAACGUGUCCCGUAGUGGGGGAUAACCCGGCGAAAGCCGGACUAAUACCGCAUAUGCUCUACGGAGGAAAGUGGGGGACCCGCAAGGGCCUCACGCCAUGGGAGCGGCCGAUGUCCGAUUAGCUUGUUGGUGAGGUAAAGGCUUACCAAGGCGACGAUCGGUAGCUGGUCUGAGAGGAUGAUCAGCCACACUGGGACUGAGACACGGCCCAGACUCCUACGGGAGGCAGCAGUGGGGAAUUUUGGACAAUGGGGGCAACCCUGAUCCAGCCAUGCCGCGUGCGGGAAGAAGGCCUUCGGGUUGUAAACCGCUUUUGUUCGGGAAGAAAAGGCACCCCCUAAUACGGGAUGCUCUUGACGGUACCGGAAGAAUAAGCACCGGCUAACUACGUGCCAGCAGCCGCGGUAAUACGUAGGGUGCGAGCGUUAAUCGGAAUUACUGGGCGUAAAGCGUGCGCAGGCGGUUCGUGAUGUCUGAUGUGAAAGCCCCGGGCUCAACCUGGGAAUUGCAUUGGAAACUAGCGGGCUGGAGUGUGGCAGAGGGGGGUGGAAUUCCACGUGUAGCAGUGAAAUGCGUAGAGAUGUGGAGGAACACCGAUGGCGAAGGCAGCCCCCUGGGCUAACACUGACGCUCAUGCACGAAAGCGUGGGGAGCAAACAGGAUUAGAUACCCUAGUAGUCC
rnacentral:rRNA from 1 species